UACGGGGGGAGCAAGCGUUGUUCGGAUUUACUGGGCGUAAAGGGCGCGUAGGCGGCGCAACAAGUCACUUGUGAAAUCUCCGGGCUUAACCCGGAGCGGCCAAGUGAUACUGUCGUGCUAGAGUGCGGAAGGGGCUACUGGAAUUCUCGGUGUAGCGGUGAAAUGCGUAGAUAUCGGGAGGAACACCAGUGGCGAAGGCGACUACCUGGCCUGUUUCUUGACGCUGAGGCGCGAAAGCUAGGGGAGCAAACGGG
rnacentral:rRNA from 1 species